UUUCUAAGGAUGGUCUUCAGAAGCUUGCUUCUAUCGAACCGUUUUAGAAACAUCAGUGGCCAACGAUCGUCAGGAUCGUUGAGCUGCAUUGGCGGGAUUUCGCCGUCUUCGUUUCUCUUUCUUCGCGGACGAACACGCGCUGGGCCUGCGAGAGCAGGGUCCCUGGUCCUUGACGGGAUAUGCGUUAGGGGCUUGUAGCUCAGUUGGUUAGAGCGCGCGCUUGAUAAGCGUGAGGUCGGAAGUUCAAGUCUUCCCAGGCCCACCACACUCAUCGGGUAAGCAUUCGUCUUCUGGUUACGGGGCCAUAGCUCAGCUGGGAGAGCGCGUGCUUUGCAAGCAUGAGGUCGUCGGUUCGAUCCCGUCUGGCUCCACCAGAUGGUUUGAUCACCGACGCUGUGUUUGCAGCUAUUCAACCGUCGUCCGCGAAACAUCACUUCGCACCUACUAGUCUGGAUAGACAGUAGGUUGCGUGAUUUCUGACAUCGUAAAGAGGAGAUCGAUCCGAGUUGGAUCGGGCAGCAAGCAAUUGCUGCGCGAACCUUCAUUAUCUCCGGAUCAUUUCGGCGCUCGCGCGCCUUUCAAUGCGGCUCACAAGGCUGCGUCUGAAGGGAAUGCGGGUUGUAAAUGAUCCUUUUAGCGAAGCUUGACCGCCUCGCUAUCGGAACGAUCUUACGAAGCAAGCUGGUCUUUCUAAUCAUUGUCCGGCUGUACGUAGCGUUCAUCGAGGGCGCGUGCCGCAAGGCAAUCGUACAGACAACAUUCUGCCGAGUGUGUGGACAUUGAUAAUGAGAGCAAUCAAGUGCCUUAAGGUGUUC
rnacentral:tRNA from 1 species